AUUGAACGCUGGCGGCAUGCUUUACACAUGCAAGUCGAACGGCAGCGCGGGCUUCGGCCUGGCGGCGAGUGGCGAACGGGUGAGUAAUGCAUCGGAACGUGCCCAGUAGUGGGGGAUAGCCCGGCGAAAGCCGGAUUAAUACCGCAUACGACCUGAGGGUGAAAGCGGGGGACCGAAAGGCCUCGCGCUAUUGGAGCGGCCGAUGUCGGAUUAGCUAGUUGGUGGGGUAAAGGCUUACCAAGGCGACGAUCCGUAGCUGGUCUGAGAGGACGACCAGCCACACUGGGACUGAGACACGGCCCAGACUCCUACGGGAGGCAGCAGUGGGGAAUUUUGGACAAUGGGGGCAACCCUGAUCCAGCCAUGCCGCGUGCGGGAAGAAGGCCUUCGGGUUGUAAACCGCUUUUGUUCGGGAAGAAAUCCUCUGGGCUAAUACCCCGGGGGGAUGACGGUACCGGAAGAAUAAGCACCGGCUGACUACGUG
rnacentral:rRNA from 1 species